rnacentral:rRNA from 1 species
CACAUGCAASUCGAGCGGCAGCGGGAAGUAGUUUACUACUUUGCCGGCGAGCGGCGGACGGGUGAGUAAUGUCUGGGAAACUGCCUGAUGGAGGGGGAUAACUACUGGAAACGGUAGCUAAUACCGCAUGACCUCGNAAGAGCAAAGUGGGGGACCUUCGGGCCUCACGCCAUCGGAUGUGCCCAGAUGGGAUUAGCUAGUAGGUGGGGUAAUGGCUCACCUAGGCGACGAUCCCUAGCUGGUCUGAGAGGAUGACCAGCCACACUGGAACUGAGACACGGUCCAGACUCCUACGGGAGGCAGCAGUGGGGAAUAUUGCACAAUGGGCGCAAGCCUGAUGCAGCCAUGCCGCGUGUGUGAAGAAGGCCUUCGGGUUGUAAAGCACUUUCAGCGAGGAGGAAGGCAUCCGUGUUAAUAGCACGCUUGAUUGACGUUACU